rfam:Cricetulus griseus cell line CHO-K1, whole genome shotgun sequence.
GGGUUUGAUGGUGCCCUGGAUUCAACAUCUGUCACUGCAUCAAAGCCAGGAUUAAUUCAUCUUUUUUGGCUGGCUAGGAGAGUGGCUCCUUCCACUCUCCCAACCUCAUGUGCAUCCUUCCCAAAGGUGUACCCUUGGUCAAAGAGGAGGAUCUUCCCCAAUUGGAGGAGGACCAGUCUUUGGUCAAGGGUGUAAAUGUAGCUCAAUUCCCAUGAUGGAACCUCCAAACAAGAUCUCAAAGGUGUUUUUAUUGUGUGCCUUCUCAAAACCCUCAUUUUUAAGUUUUAUUGUGUACCUUCACAUAACCCUAAAUCUU